CUACGCACUCCUACGGGAGGCAGCAGUGGGGAAUAUUGCACAAUGGGCGCAAGCCUGAGUGCAGCCAUGCCGCGUGUAUGAAGAAGGCCUUCGGGUUGUAAAGUACUUUCAGCAGUGAGGAAGGUGGAUAUGUUAAUAGCAUAUUCAUUUGACGUUAGCUGCAGAAGAAGCACCGGCUAACUCCGUGCCAGCAGCCGCGGUAAUACGGAGGGUGCGAGCGUUAAUCGGAAUUACUGGGCGUAAAGCGCAUGCAGGUGGUUUGUUAAGUCAGAUGUGAAAGCCCGGGGCUCAACCUCGGAAUUGCAUUUGAAACUGGCAAACUAGAGUACUGUAGAGGGGGUAGAAUUUCAGGUGUAGCGGUGAAAUGCGUAGAGAUCUGAAGGAAUACCGGUGGCGAAGGCGGCCCCCUGGACAGAUACUGACACUCAGAUGCGAAAGCGUGGGGAGCAAACAGGAUUAGAUACCCUGGUAG
rnacentral:rRNA from 1 species